GUGGGGAAUAUUGGACAAUGGGCGAAAGCCUGAUCCAGCCAUGCCGCGUGUGUGAAGAAGGUCUUCGGAUUGUAAAGCACUUUAAGUUGGGAGGAAGGGCAUUAACCUAAUACGUUAGUGUUUUGACGUUACCGACAGAAUAAGCACCGGCUAACUUCGUGCCAGCAGCCGCGGUAAUACGAAGGGUGCAAGCGUUAAUCGGAAUUACUGGGCGUAAAGCGCGCGUAGGUGGUUCGUUAAGUUGGAUGUGAAAGCCCCGGGCUAAACCUGGGAACUGCAUCCAAAACUGGCGAGCUAGAGUACGGUAGAGGGUGGUGGAAUUUCCUGUGUAGCGGUGAAAUGCGUAGAUAUAGGAAGGAACACCAGUGGCGAAGGCGACCACCUGGACUGAUACUGACACUGAGGUGCGAAAGCGUGGGGAGCAAACAGGAUUAGAAACCCUUGUAGUCC
rnacentral:rRNA from 1 species